AGAGUUUGAUCCUGGCUCAGGACGAACGCUGGCGGCGUGCCUUACGCAUGCAAGUCGAGCGAUCCACUUCGGUGGAUAGCGGCGGACGGCUGAGUAACACGUAAGUAACCUGUCCUUCAGUGGGGGAUAACCCUCCGAAAGGGGGGCUAAUACCGCGUGCGCUCCCGGAGGGAAGUGCUCCGGGAGGAAAGCCUUCGGGCGCUGAAGGAGGGGCUUGCGGCCUAUCAGGUAGUUGGCAGGGUAACGGCCUACCAAGCCUACGUCGGGUAGCUGGUCUGAGAGGACGAUCAGCCAGACGGGGACUGAGACACGGCCCCGACUCCUACGGGAGGCAGCAGCGAGGGAUCUUGCGCAGUGGGCGAAAGCCUGACGCAGCAACGCCGCGUGGAGGAAGAAGGUCUUCGGGUCGUAAACUCCUUUUGCAGGGGAAGAAGGUCUGACGGUACCCUGCGAAUAAGCCACGGCUAACUACGUGCCAGCAGCCGCGGUAAUACGUAGGUGGCGAGCGUUGUCCGGAUUUAUUGGGCGUAAAGGGCGCGUAGGCGGCUUGUUAAGUCCGGGGUGAAAUCUCCCGGCUCAACUGGGAGAGGUCCUCGGAUACUAGCAGGCUAGAGGUGGGCAGAGGAAGGUGGAAUUCCCGGUGUAGCGGUGAAAUGCGUAGAUAUCGGGAGGAACACCAGUGGCGAAGGCGGCCUUCUGGGCCUAUCCUGACGCUGAGGCGCGAAAGCGUGGGGAGCAAACCGGAUUAGAUACCCGGGUAGUCCACGCCCUAACGUUGGACACUAUGUGUGGGGGGUAUCGACCCCCUCUGUGCCGAAGCUAACGCCUUAAGUGUCCCGCCUGGGAAGUACGGCCGCAGGCUAUAACUCAAAGGAAUUGACGGGGGCCCGCACAAGCGGCGGAGCGUGUGUUUAAUUCGAUGCAACGCGAAGAACCUUACCAGGGUUUGACAUGCCGGAGUAGAAACCCGAAAGGGGACACCGUAAAGUCCGGAGCGCACAGUGCUGCAUGCUGUCGUCAGCUCGUGCCUGAGUGUGGGUAGUCCCGCACGACGCAACCUGUCGUCAGUAAAUUCUCUGCAACGCUGCGCUUACGGAGAGGCGGAUGACGUCAGUCAGCAUG
rnacentral:rRNA from 1 species